AUUGAACGCUGGCGGCAUGCCUAACACAUGCAAGUCGAACGGGGCAGCAAUGCCUAGUGGCGGACGGGUGAGGAAUACGUAGGAAUCUGCCCUUAAGUGGGGGAUAACCAGGGGAAACCCUGACUAAUACCGCAUGAUCUCUUCGGAGCAAAGAGGGGGACCGCAAGGCCUCUCGCUUCUGGAUGAGCCUACGUCUGAUUAGCUAGUUGGUAGGGUAAAGGCCUACCAAGGCGACGAUCAGUAACUGGUCUGAGAGGAUGAUCAGUCACACCGGAACUGAGACACGGUCCGGACUCCUACGGGAGGCAGCAGUGGGGAAUUUUGGACAAUGGGCGCAAGCCUGAUCCAGCAAUGCCGCGUGCAGGAUGAAGGCCUUCGGGUUGUAAACUGCUUUUGUACGGAACGAAACGGCGAGCUCUAAUACAGUUUGCUAAUGACGGUACCGUAAGAAUAAGCACCGGCUAACUACGUGCCAGCAGCCGCGGUAA
rnacentral:rRNA from 1 species